rnacentral:rRNA from 1 species
AUUGAACGCUGGCGGCAUGCCUUACACAUGCAAGUCGAACGGCAGCACGGGAGCAAUCCUGGUGGCGAGUGGCGAACGGGUGAGUAAUAUAUCGGAACGUGCCCAGUGAUGGGGGAUAGCCCGGCGAAAGCCGGAUUAAUACCGCAUACGACCUACGGGUGAAAGCAGGGGAUCGCAAGACCUUGCGUCAUUGGAGCGGCCGAUAUCAGAUUAGCUUGNGGUGGGGUAAAGCCUACCAAGGCGACGAUCUGUAGCUGGUCUGAGAGGACGACCAGCCACACUGGGACUGAGACACGGCCCAGACUCCUACGGGAGGCAGCAGUGGGGAAUUUUGGACAAUGGGCGCAAGCCUGAUCCAGCCAUGCCGCGUGCGGGAAGAAGGCCUCGGUUGUAA